UACGUAGGGUGCAAGCGUUGUCCGGAAUUAUUGGGCGUAAAGAGCUCGUAGGCGGUCUGUCGCGUCUGCUGUGAAAACUCAGGGCUUAACCCUGAGCUUGCAGUGGGUACGGGCAGACUAGAGUGCGGUAGGGGAGACUGGAAUUCCUGGUGUAGCGGUGAAAUGCGCAGAUAUCAGGAGGAACACCGGUGGCGAAGGCGGGUCUCUGGGCCGUAACUGAUGCUGAGGAGCGGAAAGCAUGGGGAGCGAACAGG
rnacentral:rRNA from 1 species